AUUGAACGCUGGCGGCAGGCCUAACACAUGCAAGUCGAGCGAGCGGCGGACGGGUGAGUAAUGUCUGGGCAACUGCCUGAUGGAGGGGGAUAACUACUGGAAACGGUAGCUAAUACCGCAUACCCUCAGAUGUGCCCAGAUGGGAUUAGCUAGUGGGUUGGGUAACGGCUCACCUAGGCGACGAUCCCUAGCUGGUCUGAGAGGAUGACCAGCCACACUGGAACUGAGACACGGCCCAGACUCCUACGGGAGGCAGCAGUGGGGAAUAUUGCAAAAUGGGCGCAAGCAUGAUGCAGACAUGACGCUUGUGUUAAGAAGGCCUGCGGGUUGUAAAGCACUUUCAGCGGGGAGGCGGUACCCGCAGAAGAAGCACCGGCUAACUCCGUGCCAGCAGCCGCGGUAAUUC
rnacentral:rRNA from 1 species